rnacentral:rRNA from 1 species
UUGAAGAGUUUGAUCAUGGCUCAGAUUGAACGCUGGCGGCAGGCCUAACACAUGCAAGUCGAACGGUAACGGAAGCAGCUUGCUGUUUCGCUGACAGUGGCGGACGGGUGAGUAAUGUCUGGGAAACUGCCUGAUGGAGGGAUAACUACUGGAAACGGUAGCUAAUACCGCAUAACGUCGCAAGACCAAAGAGGGACCUUCGGGCCUCUUGCCAUCGGAUGUGCCCAGAUGGGAUUAGCUAGUAGGUGGGUAACGGCUCACCUAGGCGACGAUCCUAGCUGGUCUGAGAGGAUGACCAGCCACACUGGAACUGAGACACGGUCCAGACUCCUACGGGAGGCAGCAGCAGCCUGAUGCAGCCAUGCCUUCGGGUUGUAAAGUACUUUCAGCGGGGAGGAAGGGUAAAGUUAAUACCUUUGCUCAUUGACGUUACCGCAGAAGAAGCACCAACUCCGUGCCAGCAGCCGCGGUAAUACGGAGGUGCAAGCGUUAAUCGGAAUUACUGGGCGUAAAGCGCACGCAGGCGGUUUGUUAAGUCAGAUGUGAAAUCCCGGCUCAACACGGGAACUGCAUCUGAUACUGGCAAGCUUGAGUCUCGUAGAGGGGGGUAGAAUUCCAGGUGUAGCGGUGAAAUGCGUAGAGAUCUGGAGGAAUACCGGUGGCGAAGGCGGCCCCGGACGAAGACUGACGCUCAGGUGCGAAAGCGUGGGAGCAAACAGGAUUAGAUACCGGUAGUCCACGCCGUAAACGAUGUCGACUUGGAGGUUGUGCCCUUGAGGCGUGGCUUCCGGAGCUAACGCGUUAAGUCGACCGCACGGGAGUACAAGGUUAAAACUCAAAUGAAUUGACGGGGGCCCGCACAAGCGGUGGAGCAUGUGGUUUAAUUCGAUGCAACGCGAAGAACCUUACCUGGUCUUGACAUCCACAGAACUUUCCAGAGAUGGAUUGGUGCCUUCGGGAACUGUGAGACAGGUGCUGCAUGGCUGUCGUCAGCUCGUGUUGUGAAAUGUUGGGUUAAGUCCCGCAACGAGCGCAACCCUUAUCCUUUGUUGCCAGCGGUCGGGGGAACUCAAAGGAGACUGCCAGUGAUAAACUGGAGGAAGGUGGGGAUGACGUCAGUCAUCAUGGCCCUUACGACGGGCUACACGUGCUACAAUGGCGCAUACAAGAGAAGCGACCUCGCGAGCAAGCGGACCUCAUAAAGUGCGUCGUAGUCCGGAUUGAGUCUGCAACUCGACUCCAUGAAGUCGGAAUCGCUAGUAAUCGUGGAUCAGAAUGCCACGGUGAAUACGUUCCAGGCCUUGUACACACCGCCCGUCACACCAUGGGAGUGGGUUGCAAAGAAGUAGGUAGCAACCUUCGGGAGGCGCUUACCACUUUGUGAUUCAUGACUGGGGUGAAGUCGUAACAAGGUAACCGUAGGGGAACCUGCGGUUGGAUCACCUCCUU